GACGCAUCCAAUCGGAACCGGCCGGCUUCUGGCGCGAAGUGAGCCGGCGUGCGGCGCACGGCUGAGGAGCCGGCGCGGGGAGUUUGGACCGCGGUUCCUCCAGCUCCGAGCCUGAGGGAGAGGAUCAUGGCUGCUGUUCCUCAAAAUAAUCUACAGGAGCAACUGGAGCGUCAUUCAGCCAGAAAACUUAACAACAAAUUAAAUCUUUCAAAACCAAAACCUUCCUGUUUCACUUUUAAAAAGAAAGUCUCUUCAGCCAACAAUGUGUCUGUGACUUGUGUGUCAGUAGCAAAAACACCUGUGUUAAGUGAUAAAGAUGUUAAUGUUUCUGAGGACUUUUCCUUCAGUGAAACUUUACCUCAUACCAUGAAUCCGCAAACAAGGAUCAGUGACUUUAAAAAUGCUGCUGCAGGACAGCAAGCCAAGAGAAUUGGUUCAAAACCGUUACUGCCAGACUCAUCGCAGAUUCCGAGGGAAGUUUCACUUGCUACGCAGAGCACUCCAAGUAGAAAGGAAUUCCGUGAUGCUACUUUCAAGAAAUUAGAAUAUAGUUCUUCCUCAGAUUGGGAUGAUAUGGAUGACUUUGAUACUUCCGGAAAUUCAAAAGCAUUUGUUACACCACUCAAAAAUCACUCUGUAAGAGUAAGCACUGCUCAGAAAAAGUCCAAGAGAAACUUUUUGAAAGCACAGCUUCAAAAGGAAGAUACAGUAAAGGUUGACUUGACUACUCCUCCCUCUGAAUGCAAGCAAGUAGAUUUGACUGAGGAGCAGAAGGCGGACUCCGAAUGGUUAAGUAGCUUAAGUAGCGGUGUGAUUUGUAUUGAUGAUGGCCCCAGUUCCGAAGAGCUUGCAAAUGAAGACACUCAGAAUAGCCACUCUUUAAAAACUCAUUUGGGAGAAGAAAGAGAUAAUAGUGAAAAGGAAAAACACUUGGGAGAAACUGAAUUCCAUUCACUGAAGAAAUCUCCACCUGUUCAACUUGAUGAAGACGAUUAUGAUAUCGAUUUUAUUCCACCUUCUCCGGAAGAAAUAACGACUUCUGCCUCUUCUUCCUCUCUAAAAUGCUUUAGUAUGUUAAAGGAGCUUGACACCUGUGACAGAAAGAAGGAUGGCCUAAGCACACCAGAGGACUUGUCAAAACCAGAGAAAAUGCCUACUCAGCAAUCUAACCAAGAAACCAGCAGAGACUGUGACGGUAGACAGAUAAGUUUGCAGCAGCAGCUUAUUCAAGUGAUGGACCACAUUUGUAACUUAGUUGAUGCUAUUCCUGAUGAUGAACUGAAAGCUUUGGAUUGUGGGAACGAUCUGCUUCAGCAGCGAAACAUACGAAGGAAACUCCUGGCUGAAGCAGAUUUUAACCCAAGUGAUGCCAGUGUCCUUGGCUCAAUGUGGAGGUGCAGGCCCGAUGCCCUUGGUAACCCCAUGGAGGACAUGCCAUCUGUUUCCUUGCCGUAUGCGUUUUCAAGGGGCGAUUCCUGCCCUACAGCGAGUUCUGAUGAAUUACAUUUUCCGCCCAUUCCCUCAAAUUCCAUUUCUUCUGGGGGAUGUUUGCUGACUCCCCCAGGAAAGACAGGGUUCUCGGUCACCAAGAAGAACCUCUUUGAAAGACCAUUAUUCAAUUCCCAUUUACAGAAGUCCUUUGUGAGUAGCAACUGGGCUGAAACACCAAGAACAGAAAAAAGAAACGAAAGCUCUCAUUUUCCAGGAAGUGUUCUUACAAGCACUGCUGUGAAAGAUCAGAAUAAACAUACUGUUUCCACAGAUGACUUAGAAAGGGAAAUCCAGGCCUCCUGUGAGAUUGAUAAUUUUGACAUAGAUGACUUAGAUGAUGAUGAUGAGUGGGAAAAUAUAAUGCAUGGCUUAGCAACGAACAAGUCUUCCACAGCUGCCUAUCCGCCUAUUAAGGAAGGUCGGCCCGUUAAAUCAGUAUCAGAAAGAAUAUCUCCAACCAAGACAAACUGCCUCCCUGUGACACCUGCUGCUCAAAAUAAAAACUUUUCGGGGUCAAUGCAAAAAUACCAGUCGACGCAAAAUUUACCAUCCAGAAAUCUGAAUCACGAGCAUUUCCAACGUCUUAAUUUUCCUCAUACAAAAGAAAUGAUGAAGAUUUUUCAUAAAAAAUUUGGUCUCCAUCAUUUUCGAACUAAUCAGCUCGAGGCGAUCAAUGCUGCACUGCUUGGUGAAGACUGUUUUAUCUUAAUGCCCACUGGAGGUGGUAAAAGUCUGUGUUACCAGCUCCCUGCCUGUGUUUCUCCUGGGGUCACGAUUGUCAUUUCUCCCUUGAGGUCACUUAUCGUAGAUCAAGUCCAAAAGCUGACUUCAUUGGAUAUUCCAGCUACAUAUCUGACAGGUGAUAAGACCGACUCAGAAGCUACAAGUAUUUACCUCCAGUUAUCAAAAAAAGACCCAAUUAUAAAACUUCUGUAUGUUACUCCAGAGAAGGUCUGUGCAAGUAACAGGCUGAUUUCUACCCUGGAGAAUCUGUAUGAGAGGAAGCUCUUGGCACGGUUUGUUAUUGAUGAAGCACAUUGUGUCAGUCAGUGGGGACAUGAUUUUCGUCAGGAUUACAAAAGAAUGAAUAUGCUUCGCCAGAAGUUUCCCUCUGUUCCAGUGAUGGCUCUCACUGCCACAGCUAAUCCCAGGGUGCAGAAGGACAUCCUCACUCAGCUGAAGAUCCUCAGGCCUCAGGUGUUUACCAUGAGCUUUAACAGACAUAAUCUGAAAUACUAUGUGCUACCAAAGAAGCCUAAAAAGGUAGCAUUUGAUUGCUUAGAAUGGAUCAGGAAGCAUCACCCACAUGAUUCAGGGAUAAUUUACUGCCUCUCCAGGCGAGAAUGUGACACGAUGGCUGACACCUUGCAGAGGAACGGUCUCCCUGCUCUUGCUUAUCAUGCUGGCCUCAGUGAUUCUGCCAGAGACGAAGUGCAGCACAAGUGGAUCAACCAGGAUGGCUGUCAGGUUAUCUGUGCGACAAUUGCAUUUGGAAUGGGGAUUGACAAACCCGACGUGCGAUUUGUGAUCCACGCGUCUCUCCCUAAAUCUGUGGAGGGUUACUACCAAGAAUCUGGCCGAGCUGGAAGAGACGGGGAGAUAUCUCACUGCCUGCUUUUCUAUACCUAUUAUGAUGUGACCAGACUGAAGAGACUUAUACUGAUGGAAAAAGAUGGAAACCAUCAUACAAGAGAGACUCACUUUAAUAAUUUGUAUAGUAUGGUUCAUUACUGUGAAAAUAUAACAGAAUGCAGGCGAAUACAGCUUUUGGCUUACUUUGGUGAAAUUGGAUUUAAUCCUGAUUUUUGUAAGAAAUACUCAGAAGUUUCUUGUGAUAAUUGCUGUCAGUCAAAGGAUUAUAAGACACGAGAUGUGACUGACGAUGUGAAAAAUAUUGUAAGAUUUGUGCAAGAACAUAGUUCAUCACAAGGAACGGGAAAUAGGAACCAUAUCGGUCCUUGUGGGAGGUUUACGAUGAAUAUGCUGGUUGACAUUUUCUUGGGGAGUAAGAGUGCAAAAAUUCAGUCGGGGAUAUUUGGAAAGGGGUCUACAUAUUCACGACACAAUGCUGAGAGACUUUUUAAAAAGCUGAUACUCGACAAGAUCUUGGAUGAAGACUUAUUUAUCAAUGCCAAUGACCAACCCAUUGCCUAUGUGAUGCUCGGAAGUAAAGCGCAAGCUUUACUAAAUGGGCAUUUAAAGGUAGACUUUAUGGAGACAGAAAAUUCCAGCCGUAUCAAAAAACAAAAAGCCUUAGUGACGAAGGUUUCCCAGAGGGAAGAGGUUGUUAAGAAAUGUCUUGGAGAACUUACGGAAGUGUGCAAAUCUCUGGGGAAAGUGUUUGGUGUCCAUUACUUCAAUAUCUUCAACACUGUCACUCUCAAGAAGCUUGCAGAGUCGUUAUCUUCUGAUCCUGAGGUUUUGCUUCAAAUUGAUGGUGUUACUGAAGAUAAACUGGAAAAAUACGGGGCCGAAGUGAUUCCAAUAUUACAGAAAUACUCCGAGUGGACACUGCCAGUUGAGGACAGCUCCCCACAGAUGAGCCCAGCCAGCAGCAGAAGCGCCAGGAAUGGCUCGGAGGAGUGCGAUGAGGAAACACCUAUAUCCUCUCACUACUUUGCAAAUAAAACCAAAAAUGAAAGAAAGCGGAAAAGGAUGCCAGCCUGCCAAAGGUCUAAAAGGAGAAGAACUGGUGUUGGUGAUUUCAAGACAAAAGGAGCCUCUCUGAAAGAUCCCUCCGGUUCCACUGCUCACCUGGCUGAGAGUCUGCACAAUGGGAGGACAAACGUGGCUCUUUGCCAGGGUCCUUACCUCUCCACCCUACCGGAACCGUACCACUUGAGAAUAGCACACAAUGAACGAAUUUUGUUCCCAAGUUGUGUUGCCAGCUCUCUAAGUGGGAGUAAAAUGGAUGGCCUGGGUGAGAUGGAGGCUGCUGUUGGCAGAUUCAUUCUGUAAAUCAACAGAAACAGCAGGUUUUUGCUCUGGACUUAGUAUCUCAGCAGGAAAUCUGCAUAGGGAAAUUCAGGCUGCUGCUCUGCCGGGUUAGCACAUCUUUGCCAGUUCUGUGGUCAUACUGCCCUGGAGCAAGAGUUGAACAAUGUUGAAAAACCGCUCUUGACCUAGUCCCACCAGAAUGUCAUUACCACAGACCAGUGGCCCCCGAAUUCAGAGAUGGGAGGCCACUUGCCAGCCCCCGAUGCUGUGGAAUUCGUGUUGGGCAUGAAUUCAGCCUGGUUACAAAGCAGCAGGAAAUACUUGUGUAAGAAAAAGGCUUCUAUAGAGAAUGCUGCCGGCUGUUAUCCUUGUAAACAUGCGGCCCUGUGGGGUUUUUUUUAUUUAUUUAUUUUACAUUUUAUUGGGGGUGGGAGGGAGGAGGAAAGAAUAGCUAUUAUCUUCAGGCCAGUGAGGGAAGUGAGGUGCUUGAAGGACUUUGUAAUAGGCUGUGGCAAGGGCUUCUUCCCCGACUGUAAAGGCAGCGAGUGGGCGGUACAAGAACACAGACCUGGGAGUGUCGGCAAUCCAGCAAGCUGCCGGCGACGUGGCGGUGACAGAGACGUGCCAGACCCGAGCCCUCGCAGGCCUCCCCAGGGAACCACAUCUGCAGCCUUCCCCCGGCUGGGGCUGAGCAGGAAGAGGCUCAGCUCUGCUCCGCCCCCCUCUUCAUGCAGGCAGCCACCUUCUCUGGACUGUGCAAGCACGGUCAUUCCAGAGUGGGGCCUUAAAACAAGGAGAUCCACCACGUGCAGAAAGAUAUCUCCUAAAACUAAAUCCUCCAGCAUCCCCGGGCCAACGUCAACUGCACGUGGUUCUCAGGCGGCAGCAGGAAUCAGUAGAAAAUUGGGGAUUAUGGCUCCACCAAAGCCUGUGA